rnacentral:rRNA from 21 species
GACGAACGCUGGCGGCGUGCUUAACACAUGCAAGUCGAGCGGUAAGGCCCUUCGGGGUACACGAGCGGCGAACGGGUGAGUAACACGUGGGUGAUCUGCCUCGUACUCUGGGAUAAGCCUGGGAAACUGGGUCUAAUACCGGAUAUGACCACGAAUCGCAUGGUUUGUGGUGGAAAGAUUUAUCGGUGCGAGAUGGGCCCGCGGCCUAUCAGCUUGUUGGUGGGGUAAUGGCCUACCAAGGCGACGACGGGUAGCCGACCUGAGAGGGUGACCGGCCACACUGGGACUGAGACACGGCCCAGACUCCUACGGGAGGCAGCAGUGGGGAAUAUUGCACAAUGGGCGAAAGCCUGAUGCAGCGACGCCGCGUGAGGGAUGACGGCCUUCGGGUUGUAAACCUCUUUCGACAGGGACGAAGCGCAAGUGACGGUACCUGUAGAAGAAGCACCGGCCAACUACGUG